UCCGCCUCCGCCUCCUCCUCUGGCCACUCAGAUUAUUCCAGUUCCAAAAGAAAUAUAAAACGAGCUCCUUUUUCUGAUUAAUGCUCAUAAACCCUACCCAAAAUCAUAAAAAAACAAAAAAUCUAAAACCCCAAACACGCAUAAAACACACAAAAAGGUGCAAGCAUAGGGCUGAGAUUGAGACCUCAAGUUCACCUUCUUGGUCGGAACAUGGCGUCAUCUCCGGUAACAAUGAUGAAGAUAAAGGUACACGACUGCUCUCCGCCGUCAACCGCCGCAGCUCGGCUCCUACCGUUUUUUCGGCGCCACCAAAUUCACUUCCGUUCCUCUGUGGGUCCCCUUCAGAACCCAUGUUUUCCCAGAACCAUCAUCACGCGUGCAUCUCGCUCAUCUUUUUCCUCUUCCUCCGUCAUCACUGCCUCAAUGACUACUGAGGCAUCAGCAAAAGUUAUUGAUGGGAAAAAAAUUGCAAAAGAUGUCAGAGAUGAAAUAACUGCUGAAAUAUCUAGGAUGAAAGAUUCGAUAGGUGUUGUUCCUGGCCUGGCAGUUGUACUUGUUGGGGACAGGAAGGAUUCUGCAACUUACGUCCGCAACAAGAAAAAAGCUUGUGAAGCUGUUGGGAUCAAAUCGUAUGAAGUGUGUUUGCCUGAAGACUCAACAGAAGAAGAAGUUCUCAAGUAUAUCUCAGGCUUCAAUGAUGAUCCUAUGGUUCAUGGAAUUCUUGUUCAGCUACCGUUACCCUCUCAUAUGAAUGAACAGAACAUCUUAAAUGCUGUUUGCAUUGAGAAGGAUGUGGAUGGAUUCCACCCACUAAAUAUUGGCCGGCUAGCGAUGCGAGGUAGAGAACCAUUAUUUGUUCCAUGUACACCUAAAGGAUGCAUUGAGUUGCUGCAUCGGUAUAAUGUGGAGAUCAAGGGGAAAAGAGCUGUUGUUGUUGGCAGGAGUAAUAUCGUCGGAACGCCGGCUGCUCUGCUUCUGCAGAGGGAAGAUGCCACUGUCAGCAUUGUCCAUUCCAGAACCAAGAAACCUGAGGAGAUCACGAGACAAGCAGAUAUCAUAAUCUCAGCUGUAGGUCAACCAAACAUGGUUAGAGGCAGCUGGAUCAAGCCUGGGGCUGUGAUUAUUGAUGUCGGGAUCAAUCCUGUUGAGGAUGCUACAAAUCCUCGUGGCUAUCGGCUAGUUGGAGAUGUUUGUUAUGAAGAGGCCAGCAAAGUUGCUUCAGCUAUCACUCCUGUUCCUGGGGGAGUUGGACCCAUGACUAUAGCAAUGCUUCUCUCUAAUACUUUGUUAUCAGCAAAGCGAAUUCACAACUUCAACUGAGAUUUUAAAAUUCGUUACUCUAGCACAGUACAGUACUCUCAUUGCUGAAAUUCCUUGCCGGCACGUCGAACGCCCCUCAAAAACUAAACAUACAUGCUAAUUUGGGUUCCCCUACGUCCAUUCAUCUCCCAGCUACAAUGCAUUGGGACAUAAUUUCUAAACUUGGCAACCAUUCUUGACCUAUUAGUAUUAUGUGUUACGUGGAGAGGAAUAGGAGGUAUGCCACAUUCGACAUAUUUGAUGAAAGAGAUCAUCAGUUAAUCACCAAUCACCAUUACUGAUACCGUAAGCAGCAUGCACUUCAAUGUAGGGUGCUUAUCGGGCCGAUAAUUACGUUUAACGGUUCGGUUUAUCGGUUAUCGGAUUAUAAAUAUAGUAAUCCGCUAGCCAUCCAAUAAGACAACUCGGCUAAAUCGAAUAGAAUUUUGUUUAUCAUAGCAUCUUGCUGCUCUAGCUUCACAACUUGAUCAUAUGUUGUUCUAAUAUAUAUUCGAGGCACUUUCUUUGCACAUGACAAUAAAUUCCACAAUAUAUUAUGUACAUGUUGGAUA